AGUUUUGAGUUAUCAACGGUGCUGUACUUCCACCAACAGGCAGUUUUAUUCAUAUAAGUGGAGUCUUUUUGAUACUUCCAGGACCCACGCCGAGUCACGGAACUGCAUAAAAACGAAGCUGUUCUAGAAUUCAUCAAACCAUUUCAAUUUGGAAGAGAAAUGUCGUUGCCUGAAGAUGGUGUUGGGGCCCAAAAUGAUGUGUAUAGAGUAGUCAAUAAUUUGCUAAAUCAGUGCAAUGGGCCCAUGCAUCAGUAUAAACUCUCGUUGGAUCAAAGUCAAGUAUUGGCAGAUAAUAAUGAUGCAUUGUCCUCAUUCUUUCAAGCGAUGUACAAACUUACUAAAAAUAUGCCUUAUGUUUACCAGAUUAAGGUGAGAAGCAUGAUUUACAAUAUCAUAUCCAACGCAGAAGCAGACAUUUUUAAUAAAACUGUUUCAUCCACACCCACAUGUCAGAUGCGCCCAUAAUAUGCAGAGGACCAAAAAGAUAUUUGUUUUGUUCAGUAUAAUACAAUAGUUAUUAGAAUAUUCAGUAGAAAGUAUUAUGUAUUCAUACUACUGAGCUAUUUUUGAUUUUAAUUCUGUAUAAUUUCAUUUGACAUUCAAUAAAGUUUUUCAAAAAUCA